AACCUUGGUCUGCGUGUUUCAACACAUUAUCAAACAGUUCUAGGUACCGGGCUGUAGAGAUGCAGAGAGCAGACAGCCAGUCAGUAAGAAGGCGCCCUGGGUUCUGCAGGACACUGCAGUCUAUUGUUUUUCUGGUCUAUCGGAAGCAAGUCAACGAUAGGGCGCCUUAUCAGCGCAGUAACAACGGCGCCUCUCUCCUUGCGUUUAUUUUCAGGAUGAAUCAUCGGUGUAUUGUCUAUCGAGGUGGGGUGCAUUUCCUUUGCGUGGGAAUAUUCAACGUCAUAACCCACUGUGUGUAUAUGCGUAUAGAUCUAUCUAACUGUCUGUCUGUCUGUCUACCCUAUACACGUUUUCCACAGUAAAAGCAUGAAUCACACGUUGGUGUACCUCUCGUUGCUUAGCUUGGUGACUUGCUUUUCGCACUGGAGCGAAUACAAACGGUCAAUGAUGGAAGGGGAGUCAAGGUGAGAUCACUUCCCAGCAGCUGCGUUCCUGUUGUUUUGAUUCGGGAGGUUGCAUAUCGCAUCGCACUUCUCUUAUCAAGGGGAUAUCCUGAGAGAAUGAGGUUAUCUUCAUCAAUACCUUACCGCACAAUCGUUGCGUCAUCUCCGUUUGCAACACUCUUGCCAAAGUUCUGACCAGCUCCUCGGAACCGUUCGAGCUUAAAUGGGCCGAAUGGCUUCCUCUCGUUCGUAACCUUUCCUGUGUUUUUAGUGUUAAUAUCUAGUGCGAGGAUCACUUGUUUUUUAAUGUACAUGGAUUUUAGUGUCCAACGUGGACUAUAUCGUCAUCUGGUGGACAUUUUAACAAUUUCAACUUACAAAAAAAAUAAAUGUUGAAAUGCCUUUUAUAGUACCAGUGCAGAAUGCAGUGCAAUCCUCGAACAUGACUUCAUAUUUCUUAGCGUGUCUGCUGUGCUUGCUUUCCACGCAUCUGGUAUCUUCCUCCGGAGUGUUUGAAUUGAAAGUUCAUUCCUUUACAAGCUCCCGAGGCGUCUGCAGUAACCCUCGGGAGUGUCGGAUCUUUUUCCGGGUCUGUCUGAAGCAUGCCCAGGCUGUCAUCUCCCCCGAGCCGCCCUGCACCUACGGAACCGCCUUGACCGAAAUCACCUCGGCUGCCUCCACGGGACCUGCAGUCAGCCCUGGCAGUGUAACUGUCAGGAAGGCUGGGGCGGUCUCUUCUGCAACCAGGACCUGAACUACUGCACCAACCACCGGCCCUGCCGUAACGGAGCGACCUGCACCAACACGGGCCAGGGCAGCUAUACCUGUACCUGCAGCCCGGGCUUCAGCGGCACCAACUGCGAGAUGGAGACAAAGGAGUGAGAUAGCAACCCGUGCAAGAGCGGGGGCAGCUGCAAUGAUCUUGAAAACGUUUAGACCUGCGUCUGCCCGCAAGGAUUCUACGGCAAGAACUGCGAGAUCAGCGCCAUGACCUGACAGC